rnacentral:rRNA from 1 species
GAUGAACGCUGGCGGCGUGCCUAAUACAUGCAAGUCGAGCGAACGGACGAGAAGCUUGCUUCUCUGAUGUUAGCGGCGGACGGGUGAGUAACACGUGGAUAACCUACCUAUAAGACUGGGAUAACUUCGGGAAACCGGAGCUAAUACCGGAUAAUAUUUUGAACCGCAUGGUUCAAAAGUGAAAGACGGUCUUGCUGUCACUUAGAGAUGGAUCCGCGCUGCAUUAGCUAGUUGGUAAGGUAACGGCUUACCAAGGCAACGAUGCAUAGCCGACCUGAGAGGGUGAUCGGCCACACUGGAACUGAGACACGGUCCAGACUCCUACGGGAGGCAGCAGUAGGGAAUAUUCCGCAAUGGGCGAAAGCCUGACGGAGCAACGCCGCGUGAGUGAUGAAGGCCUUCGGAUCGUAAAACUCUGUUAUUAGGGAAGAACAUAUGUGUAAGUAACUGUGCACAUCUUGACGGUACCUAAUCAGAAAGCCACGGCUAACUACGUG